rnacentral:lncRNA from 1 species
ACGCUGCUCAGUCAGUCAGUCAGUAUAGGCUGAGAGAGGGAGGAGCUAAAGGAAGAGAACAAAGUGUGGGAAGAGAGAGGACGCACCAGUCAACAACAAGAAAGCAUUGUUGGGAUAAUCGCGAAGGUGAUGGCUGGUCGGCUGAUGGUGAGCCACACGUUCUGCCUGGCAUGGGCUCUAAUUCUGCCUCUCUGUUGCACACCUACGCCCUGUGACUCUGCCAGUGUAGGUAGGAGGGGGGAGGCGCUGGUUACUUCCCCGUCUACCUUUGCUCACUACUACAACUUGCUUACGCCGCCAAAGUCGUCUUGGGUAACCUCCUGCCCGUGGCCAUUUACCAUCAUCUGUGCCUGGUUCACUCCAACACGCUCAGGCUUCCAACACUCUCGCCAGCUGGAUAUCAUAGUCAAAGUCUAAGGCAAACUGGAAUUUUUUGACGCUAGAAGGAGACGCUGAAACUUUGGUGUGUAAAUGGAGAUCGUGAGUCGUAUUCUGGAUUUGUUUGUUAUGGAUGAAACCAGAACAAAUAGGAAGAACUUACAGAGCAGCAGGAACAACAUGGAGGAAAGUAAGUGAGGUGAAGCGUAACUAAAGAUACUAUGUACUUCAGUGUUGCUGGUCAUCAACACGAGAUAAUGAUGUAGCCGGAAAAAGUAGCAUCAUACACCAAUAAAAUCUUAUUGACUCCAGCAUUUUUCAAUGUUUUAUUAACUAAAAGUAAAUUAAAUGCUUUUACUAAAAAUAAAUCCUACUUUAUAUGUUAACUAAUGGCUUCUUAUAUACACAGUGAGGUAUGUUGCUAAUAAAUUGGUGUAUUAACAUUGUGGAAAUUAAUGAACAUAUGUAGAGAAGUAGUUUAUCAUAAGAGCCAGUGAGCUGACUCACGUUAUGGUGCACUGUAACCUGCCUUAUGGUGUCCUGUAACCUGCUUCAUGGUGUACUGUAACCUACCUUUUGGUGCACUGUAACCUGCCUUAUGGUGUCCUGUAACCUACUUCAUGGUGUACUGUAACCUACCUUAUGGUGUACUGUAACCUACCUUAUGGUAUCAUGUAACCUGCCUCAUGGUGUACUGUAACCUACCUUAUGGUGUACUGUAACCUGCCUCAUGGUGUACUGUAACCUACCUUAUGGUGUACUGUAACCUGCCUUAUAGUGUACUGUAACCUACCUUAUAGUGUGCUGUAACCUGCCUUAUGGUGUACUGUAACCUGCCUUAUAGUGUACUGUAACCUACCUUAUAGUGUGCUGUAACGUGCCUUAUGGUGUACUGUAACCUACCUUAUGGUGUACUGUAACCUACCUUAUGGUAUCCUGUAACCUGCCUCAUGGUGUACUGUAACCUACCUUAUGGUGUACUGUAACCUACCUUAUGGUGUACUGUAACCUGCCUUAUAGUGUACUGUAACCUACCUUAUAGUGUGCUGUAACUUGCCUUAUGGUGUACUGUAACCUGCCUUAUGGUGUACUGUAACCGGCCUUAUAGUGUACUGUAACCUACCUUAUAGUGUACUGUAAUCUGCUUUAUGGUGUACUGUAACCUACCUUAUGGUGUACUGUAACCUACCUCAUGGUGUACCGUAACCUCCCUUAUGGUGUACUGUAACCUGCCUUAUGGUGUACUGUAACCUGCCUUAUAGUGCACUGUAACCUGCCUUAUAGUGUACUGUAACCUGCCUUAUGGUGUACUGUGACCUGCCAUAUGGUGUACUGUAAUCUGCAUUAUAGUGUACUGUAACCUACCUUAUGGUGUACUGUAACCUGCCUUAUAGUGUACUCUAACCUGCCUUAUGGUAUACUGUAACUUACCUUAUGGUGUACUGUAACCCGCAUUAUAGUGUACUGUAACCUGCCUUAUGGUGUACUGUAACCUGCCAUAUGGUGUACUGUAACUUGCAUUAUAGUGCACUGUAACCUGCCUUAUGGUGUACUGUAACCUGCCUUAUGGUGUACUGUAACCUGCCUUAUAGUGUACUGUAACCUACCUUAUAGUGUACUGUAACCUGCCUUAUGGUGUACUGUAACCUGCCUUAUGGUGUACUGUAACCUGCCUUAUGGUGUACUGUACUGUAACCUAAGAACAUAAGAAUGGAGGAAACUGCAGCGGGCCUA